AGCUUGACACUGAACAUUGAGCCUUGAUGUGUAGGAUAGGUGGGAGGCUUUGAAGUGUGGACGCCAGUCUGCAUGGAGCCAACCUUGAAAUACCACCCUUUAAUGUUUGAUGUUCUAACGUUGCCCCGUGAACCGGGGUGCGGACAGUGUCUGGUGGGUAGUUUGACUGGGGCGGUCUCCUCCCAAAGCGUAACGGAGGAGCACGAAGGUUGGCUAAGCAUGGUCGGACAUCAUGCGGUUAGUGCAAAGGCAUAAGCCAGC
rnacentral:rRNA from 1 species